UACGUAGGGCGCAAGCGUUAUCCGGAAUUAUUGGGCGUAAAGAGCUCGUAGGCGGUUUGUCGCGUCUGCCGUGAAAGUCCGGGGCUCAACUCCGGAUCUGCGGUGGGUACGGGCAGACUAGAGUGAUGUAGGGGAGACUGGAAUUCCUGGUGUAGCGGUGAAAUGCGCAGAUAUCAGGAGGAACACCAAUGGCGAAGGCAGCUCUCUGGUACAUGAUUGACGCUGAGACGCGAAAGCGUGGGGAGCGAACAGG
rnacentral:rRNA from 1 species